UCUCUGCAGGCUGCCGCCCCAGGCUGGGCUGGGAGAAUGUCUCUUUGAAAGGCUCACCCUCAAGCACGACCAGGAGC
rnacentral:pre_miRNA from 1 species